AUAGAGAUCUUAAUUGCAACCCAUAACAACUUUAUCUAAUACUGAAGCAGAGUACAUUGGCAUCACAGAGGCAAUGAAGAAAGCCCUAUGACUGAAGGGCUUGGCACUAGAGAUGGGCUUCCCAUAGGAGGCUGUCAGAGUGCAUCUGAUAGCCAGAGUGCUUUGUUGUUUGCACAGAACUCCAUUUAUCAUACGAGAAUGAAGUAUAUUGACAUC
rnacentral:lncRNA from 1 species